GUUCUUUGUAGUCAACACAACGUACCAUCCAAACUGAAUCUAAAGGUAGAACCAUCUACAUCUGCACUGAAGGGAAAUUGCCCAGGAAAUAGCUUCCAAUUAAACUUUCCAUUUUACCAGAAAAAAAAUUAAAUGAAGUUUCAAGUUAGCAAUACAUAUAAAUUAUCCAUACAAUAACUAUCUUCACAGGUGUGCAUUUGUGGGAAAAGCAAUGGGUUCCCCCCAGAAUUCACAAAAAUAAAUGACUGUUCCAGAGCCCAAGAAGCAGCUAUUAUGAACACACUAUAGCUAUUGAAAAAUCAAAGUGCUAAGAGGAAAAAAGUGAUUCUUGUAUAAUUUUUAAAUAAAAAUAUUUAUGAAUCAUCAUCUCAAAGCAAGAAUUUCAGAUUAGCAAAAUGCUACAUAUUUAUUUAUUAAGAUGCUAUAGGUGGAAAAGCAGACACUGGACUAAUCUGUCUCAUUAUGAGUUAACUGAGCCAUUUGCAUCCCUAAGAAAUGGAAUUUGAAAGGCCGAAAGUAGGAGGCACUUGCAGCAAGUCACCCUUACUCCCAGUGGCUGACAACUGAGCUAUUCAAAAGAGAAUUGUUUUCAUUCAAUUGCUCUCUUAUUUUAGAUUCUCAUGGAUGGGAACUUGACAACUCAGCCUCUUCUAGCCAUGAAGCAGCAGCCAGAAAUUUCUCCUAUAUCUCUUGCAUGGCACAAACAGGGCUGAAAUUGCAGGUGGUAUAGUGGUGACCUCAGAGGCUGG
rnacentral:lncRNA from 1 species